GUUAUUUGUUUUGUAGGUGCAAUUUUGUUCAAGAACAAGAAGGAAGAAAUUUGCAUCCACAAAUUGGUGCUUUCAUCGAGAGCUGAGUCACACACUCGUAGAAGACUCUUGCACUUAAGGUUUUUCGUUUUCUUGUUCAUUUGUAGAUUUUUUCGUACGUUCUUAUUCUUAGAAUUUAUAUUUCUUUGGUAAAAUGUGAAAGAAAAGUACAAUGGCAAGGGAUUUGGAAACCUCGACGAACGGAAAUUCCAACGUUUAGGAUUAGAACCGCAACAAUCUACAAGGCUCAACACAACGAUGAGUGCCGGGGCACCACCUUGGCAACUAUCAUAGAGGCCA
rnacentral:lncRNA from 1 species